AAAAUUUUCAACCCCCCCCCCCAAUAUUCGGCAUAAUAAAAAAUAAUUAAAUAAUCCACUCCAACGUGCAGAGUGUUGAUGAUACAAAAUAAACGUAGGAGUACACUCGAAUAGAAAGCAAUAUUAUUGGAGCAAUUGUAAAGUUUUGAAACUCUAUUAUCUCCCAUGAAUAGAGUUUGCAGUGCCUUGUCAUGCAAAUAGCUUGCUUGCAAGGAACGUUUGGAAUUUUUACAAACAUUAUUUUUCGUUUUUAAUUCUUUUUAAUUUUUUAAUUCGUUUAUAAAAGUAAAAGCAUAUUGUGUAUUGGCCUAUUGGGUUUACACUUUUACAGGUUCAUUUAACUUUAAGUCUCUCAAGUCUCAACAGACAAUCGGACACAGGGCCGUAGCGAGGGGGUGUUGGGGGGGGGGUGGUUAACCCCCCAACUUUUGUAGAAUUAACAUAUUUGGAAAAUCGGGUUGGCCAUUCGGAAAAUUACGGCAAUAAUAGUAUAACAAAAUUUUAAUUGUUUAAUUAAACAGAAAAAAUAUUAUAAUAUUAUAAUCAGUAUAAAAUGAUUUACGAAAUCACGGCAUUUACAUGCCGGAUAACGUUUAACAAAUCGUAAAUCGGUAAUUUUUUUCGGUUUCAGUACUUAUCAGGGCCGUAGCAACCGGGGGGGGGGGGAGGCAGCACCCUUACAAUAAUUUGCUGAUAAUCAGUCUUUUUUCAAAAUCAUGCACACCUUUAUCAUUUAAACAAUUGAUUAAUUUUAAGCGGCUACAUUAUCCAUGACAAACCGCAAAGAAUUAUAUUACCCAUACUCUUUCCUGCAACUUCUCCAAUAUAUAGCUAAAUACGACUUCGCCCAUUUAAUUCUGCUAAAUUGUAAGCAAAUUGUAAAUUUCGACAUACUAAAACUCUAUUAACAACUCAAACCGACUUUACCACGUAGCUCAGUUGGCAGAGCAUUGGACUAGCAUCCCAAAGGUCGCGGGUUUGAUUUCCACCGUGGGCAAGCUAACUUUUUAGCUUGCCCAGUGUGGAUCAGUGGAUGCAUACUCAGAGUAACAUCACAAACAUCAUAUUCACUUGAGUACACAACACCAACACACACACAUAAAUCAUAUCAAAGAUUACACUGAUGUCGAAGGAACUAGAUUCAGUUCCGAAAUAUCAACAAGUCGAACCGACUUGACCACGUAGCUCAGGUGGGAGAGCAUUGGACUAGUAUCCCAAAGGUCGCAGGUUCGACUCCCACCGUGGCCAGGCACACUUUUCAGCUUGCCCACUGUGGAUGCAUACUCAGAGUAACAUCACAAAUAUCAUAUUAAAACUCUGUUUUCUGACCAUCAGAAUUCUGUCAAAACUUCCCCCAAAGUCCAGGAAAUGGCAUUUCAGAGAAUCUAAAUUUAAAAAUUUCCUCGGGCCUUCGGCCCUCGUUCCCAGCCCCCAAUCAAAAAGAGCUUCCUACGGCACUGCAUACUUCUGUAAUAUGUCUUUGUGGAAACUAUGUGGGCUAUGUGUAUUUUUGUUUGUAAAUUGCGUCUUCAUUUUCCAGAUAGCAAACACCUUCGUUGCUUCGUAUGCCAUGAAAUAUUCGGAAAUUUUUUUCGUCAUUCGGAAAUAUUUGGCCUACACCCCCCAUCCCCCAACUAUACAUGCUAGCUACGGCCCUGAUCGGACAGGCCAAAUCCAUUGAUAUGACAACUUCAAAAAACGUUUUUUCGAAGCUAGAAAUCAUGAUUUUUUUCAAAUUUUUCCAGGGAUACUUUGUUUUCUGCUCUCUAGACUCCCCCUCGCGGCUCUAGUGCUCCACCUCUAGAAUAUAGACCUUACUGGGGUUUGGUGACACUUUGUGUUGCUUCAGUCACCUGCUCACGGCUCACCCCCCUAAAAUUUCUGGCACCACCCCAGUAAAAAAUAUGAAAAUCCGUCUAUGAUUGUAUACGUACUUGUUCGACGUUAUGAAUCUCCACGUACUUAAAACAGAACUAUAAUACUUUAGCCAUAUUUAAAUUUGGCCCUUGACAAAAAUAAAACCCCUUG
rnacentral:lncRNA from 1 species